GGCUCGAUAGCUCAGUUGAUAAAGCGCUCGUCUGGCAUACAAGAGUCCUGGAUUCGAAUUCCAGCGAAUUG
rfam:Aedes aegypti strain Liverpool supercont1.346 genomic scaffold, whole genome shotgun sequence.